AUUGAACGCUGGCGGCAUGCCUUACACAUGCAAGUCGAACGGCAGCAUGAUCUAGCUUGCUAGAUUGAUGGCGAGUGGCGAACGGGUGAGUAAUACAUCGGAACGUGCCCUGUAGUGGGGGAUAACUAGUCGAAAGAUUAGCUAAUACCGCAUACGACCUAAGGGUGAAAGUGGGGACCGCAAGGCCUCAUGCUAUAGGAGCGGCCGAUGUCUGAUUAGCUAGUUGGUGAGGCAAAGGCUCACCAAGGCGACGAUCAGUAGCUGGUCUGAGAGGACGAUCAGCCACACUGGGACUGAGACACGGCCCAGACUCCUACGGGAGGCAGCAGUGGGGAAUUUUGGACAAUGGGGGCAACCCUGAUCCAGCAAUGCCGCGUGUGUGAAGAAGGCCUUCGGGUUGUAAAGCACUUUUGUCCGGAAAGAAAUCGCACUUACUAAUAUUAGGUGUGGAUGACGGUACCGGAAGAAUAAGGACCGGCUAACUACGUGCCAGCCGCCGCCGUAAUAC
rnacentral:rRNA from 1 species